rnacentral:rRNA from 1 species
GACGAACGCUGGCGGCGUGCUUAACACAUGCAAGUCGAACGGAAAGGCCUGCUUUCCCUUGUGGAUUGCGGGUACUCGAGUGGCGAACGGGUGAGUAACACGUGAGUGAUCUGCCCCCAACUUGGGUAUAAGCCUGGGAAACUGGGUCUAAUUCCCGAUAGGACUGCAGGGUGGUGCCUGUGGUGGAAAACGAUUUUCUAGUGGUUGGGGAUGAGCUCGCGGCCUAUCAGCUUGUUGGUGGGGUAAUGGCCUACCAAGGCGGCGACGGGUAGCCGGCCUGAGAGGGUGGACGGCCACAUUGGGACUGAGAUACGGCCCAGACUCCUACGGGAGGCAGCAGUGGGGAAUAUUGCACAAUGGGCGGAAGCCUGAUGCAGCGACGCCGCGUGGGGGAUGACGGCCUUCGGGUUGUAAACUCCUUUCGACCGCGAGGAAGCCACCUGGUUGGAAGGGUGGUGACAGUAGUGGUAGAAGAAGCACCGGCUAACUACGUG